ACGAGGUGUGGAGGUACGACAUCUAUAUUAUAAUACUGUCAGUACUGCAGAGACGAGGUACGACAUCUAUAUUAUAAUACUGUCAGUACUGCAGGACGAGGUACGACAUCUAUAUUAUAAUACUGUCAGUACUGCAGGACGAGGUGGUGAGGUACGACAUCUAUAUUAUAAUACUGUCAGUACUGCAGGACGAGGUACGACAUCUAUAUUAUAAUACUGUCA